AGCGGCGAGUGAAGCGGCAAAAGCUCAAAUUUGAAAUCUGGCACUUUCAGUGUCCGAGUUGUAAUUUGAAGAAGGUAUCUUUGGGUCUGGCUCUUGUCUAUGUUUCUUGGAACAGAACGUCACAGAGGGUGAGAAUCCCGUGCGAUGAGAUGACCCAGACCUAUGUAAAGUUCCUUCGAAGAGUCGAGUUGUUUGGGAAUGCAGCUCUAAGUGGGUGGUAAAUUCCAUCUAAAGCUAAAUAUUGGCGAGAGACCGAUAGCGAACAAGUACAGUGAUGGAAAGAUGAAAAGAACUUUGAAAAGAGAGUGAAAAAGUACGUGAAAUUGUUGAAAGGGAAGGGCUUGAGAUCAGACUUGGUAUUUUGUAUGUUACUCUUUCGGGGGUGGCCUCUACAGUUUACCGGGCCAGCAUCAGUUUGGGCGGUAGGAGAAUUGCAAAGAAAUGUGGCACUGCUUCGGUAGUGUGUUAUAGUCUUUGUCGAUACUGCCAGCCUAGACUGAGGACUGCGGCUUCGGCCUAG
rnacentral:rRNA from 1 species